rnacentral:rRNA from 1 species
UACGUAGGCAGCGAGCGUUGUUCGGAGUUACUGGGCAUAAAGAGUGCGUAGGCGGUUUUCUAAGUUUGGUGUGAAAUCUCCCGGCUCAACUGGGAGGGUGCGCCGAAGACUGGAAGGCUAGAGUAUGGGAGAGGUAAGCGGAAUUCCUGGUGUAGCGGUGAAAUGCGUAGAUAUCAGGAGGAACACCUGCGGUGUAGACGGCUUACUGGACCAUCACUGACGCUGAGGCACGAAAGCGUGGGUAGCAAACAGG